rnacentral:rRNA from 1 species
AGCGAACGCUGGCGGCAGGCUUAACACAUGCAAGUCGAGCGGGCCCUUCGGGGUCAGCGGCAGACGGGUGAGUAACGCGUGGGAACGUGCCCUUCGGUUCGGAAUAACUCAGGGAAACUUUAGCUAAUACCGGAUACGCCCUUAUGGGGAAUGGUUUACUGCCGAAGGAUCGGCCCGCGUCUGAUUAGCUAGUUGGUGAGGUUAUGGCUCACCAAGGCGACGAUCAGUAGCUGGUCUGAGAGGAUGAUCAGCCACACUGGGACUGAGACACGGCCCAGACUCCUACGGGAGGCAGCAGUGGGGAAUAUUGGACAAUGGGGGCAACCCUGAUCCAGCCAUGCCGCGUGAGUGAUGACGGCCUUAGGGUUGUAAAGCUCUUUUCUCCGGGACGAUAAUGACGGUACCGGAGGAAUAAGCCCCGGCUAACUUCGUG